rnacentral:rRNA from 1 species
UGGGGAAUAUUGGACAAUGGGGGCAACCCUGAUCCAGCCAUGCCGCGUGAGUGAUGAAGGCCUUCGGGUUGUAAAGCUCUUUUGGCGGGGACGAUGAUGACGGUACCCGCAGAAUAAGCCCCGGCUAACUUCGUGCCAGCAGCCGCGGUAAGACGAAGGGGGCUAGCGUUGUUCGGAAUUACUGGGCGUAAAGCGAGUGUAGGCGGUUGCCGUAGUCAGGUGUGAAAGCCUUGAGCUCAACUCAAGGAAAUGCACUUGAUACUGGGUGACUAGAGGACCGGAGAGGAUAGUGGAAUUCCCAGUGUAGUGGUGAAAUACGUAGAGAUUGGGAAGAACACCAGUGGCGAAGGCGGCUAUCUGGACGGUUACUGACGCUAAGACUCGAAAGCGUGGGGAGCAAACAGGAUUAGAUACCCUGGUAGUCCACGCCGUAAACGAUGGGUGCUAGACGUUGGCGAGCUUGCUCGUCAGUGUCGCAGCUAACGCGUUAA